rnacentral:rRNA from 1 species
GUAGGGUGCGAGCGUUAAUCGGAAUUACUGGGGCGUAAGGCGUGCGCAGGCGGUUGUGCAAGACAGAUGUGAAAUCCCCCGGGGGCUCAACCUGGGGAAUUGCAUUUGUGACUGCACGGCUAGAGUGUGUCAGAGGGGGGUAGAAUUCCACGUGUAGCAGUGAAAUGCGUAGAGAUGUGGAGGAAUACCGAUGGCGAAGGCAGCCCCCUGGGAUAACACUGACGCUCAUGCACGAAAGCGUGGGGAGCAAACAGGAUUAGAUACCCUGGUAGUCCACGCCCUAAACGAUGUCAACUAGUUGUCGGGUCUUAAUUGACUUGGUAACGCAGCUAACGCGUGAAGUUGACCGCCUGGGGAGUACGGUCGCAAAGAUUAA